rnacentral:rRNA from 1 species
UACGUAGGGUGCAGGCGUUAAUCGGAAUUACUGGGCGUAAAGCGUGCGCAGGCGGUUGUGCAAGACAGAUGUGAAAUCCCCGGGCUUAACCUGGGAACUGCAUUUGUGACUGCACAGCUAGAGUGUGUCAGAGGGGGGUAGAAUUCCACGUGUAGCAGUGAAAUGCGUAGAUAUGUGGAGGAAUACCGAUGGCGAAGGCAGCCCCCUGGGAUAACACUGACGCUCAUGCACGAAAGCGUGGGGAGCAAACAGG